rnacentral:rRNA from 1 species
UACAGAGGGGGCAAGCGUUGUUCGGAAUUACUGGGCGUAAAGGGCGCGUAGGCGGCCUGUUAAGUCGAACGUGAAAUCCCCGGGCUCAACCCGGGAACUGCGUCCGAAACUGGCAGGCUAGAAUUCGGGAGAGGGAUGCGGAAUUCCAGGUGUAGCGGUGAAAUGCGUAGAUAUCUGGAGGAACAUCGGUGGCGAAGGCGGCAUCCUGGACCGAUAUUGACGCUGAGGCGCGAAAGCCAGGGGAGCAAACGGG